rnacentral:rRNA from 1 species
AGCAGCCGCGGUAAUUCCAGCUCCAAUAGCGUAUAUUAAAGUUGUUGCAGUUAAAAAGCUCGUAGUUGAAUUUCGGGGUCAGCAAGUUGGUCGUGCCACUGGUAUGCACUGGCUUUGCUGAUUCCUCCUUCUUGUAGAACCGUAAUGCCAUUAAGUUGGUGUUGCGGGGAAACAGGACUGUUACUUUGAAAAAAUUAGAGUGUUUAAAGCAGGCUAACGCCUGAAUACAUUAGCAUGGAAUAAUGAAAUAGGACGACGAUCCUAUUUUGUUGGUUUCUAGGAUUGACGUAAUGAUUAAUAGGGAUAGUUGGGGGCAUUAGUAUUCAAUUGUCAGAGGUGAAAUUCUUGGAUUUAUUGAAGACUGACUACUGCGAAAGCAUUUGCCAAGGAUGUUUUCAUUAAUCAAGAACGAAAGUUAGGGGAUCGAAGACGAUCAGAUACCGUCGUAGUCUUAACCAUAAACUAUGCCGACUAGGGAUCGGAUGAUGUUAAUUUUAUAAUGACUCAUUCGGCGUCCG